rnacentral:rRNA from 1 species
UGGGGAAUCAUGGUCAAUGGGCGAAAGCCUGAACCUGCGACGCCGCGUGGGGGAUGACGCCUUACGGUGUGUAAACUCCUUUUUUGGUGGAAGACGAAUGACGGUACACCAAGAAUAAGCGACGGCUAACUACGUGCCAGCAGCCGCGGUAAUACGUAGGUCCCAAGCGUUAUCCGGAUUUACUGGGCGUAAAGUGUCCGUAGCCGGAUAUACAAGUCUGUUUUCAAAUCUCCUGGCUCAACCAGGAAAAGGGAAUAGAUACUGUAUAUCUAGAGAAUAUUGGAGGUUAGUGGAAUUUCCGGUGGAGCGGUGAAAUGCGUUGAUAUCGGAAAGAACGCCGAAAGCGAAAGCAGCUAACUAUGAUAUUUCUGACGGUGAUGGACGAAAGCUUGAGUAGCAAACG